rfam:Peptococcaceae bacterium BRH_c4b BRHa_1004082, whole genome shotgun sequence.
AGGAUAGUAUCCGUACUGGAACUGUACCUUUUAGCGCUAUCUGUUCAGUUAACCGACAACUACAUAGAGGUGCCGCUUGGAGCCGGGACGGACCGAGACGGAAGG